UGCGCAUUGUUUUGCGCCGGUCACGAAAAUUGGACGUGCUUCUUCCGCAUAUAAAGCAACCUAGAUUAAUAUUCAAACAUAUCGCGGGAUAACUGCAUUUAAACCAACGUAUUUAAGAGAGUGGAUGCGUUGUUCCGUUUUGCAGAGUUAUAUUGCAUUCAGCAUACGUGUUUACAAAACGAGAGGAUAGUCCGACAUUAAAAUCAUAUACAGCACUGACUAAAGUUAUUGCAGAGGUUGCCGACGAUUUGAGAGCUAUUGGACGAAACUUAUUGGAUCUCGUAAUUGAGGCAAAUGUGUCACACAUGGGAGGUACGACGGAUGUUUCUAAGAAGAUAUACAGUGGUGAGAGAGCAUUUAUGGAUACGUUGAAAACUAUGUCUCUGGGAAACAUGAUGGAAGAUGAAAAUGAGACAGACAAUCUGGAAAACAGUUUGGAUGACCAGGCGGACGGAAUCUGUGCCAGUCAUGUCCUCGAACAACCGAUCGAUCCACCAGAGGGCUACGUUGGCAGUUCUUCGAGAACCCUACCAUUUGCGAGUGAACCGACGCCUGAUCAAAAAACGGUGAUCUUUAUUUCCCACGCAUAUCAGACGGACACAGAGGAUGGGGAUUACUUUGGCGCAACUCUAUACACCUACAUGCUGCCUUCGGGGAAGAAAUACAAGUACCAGCAUCUACUGAAGGAUAUCAAGGAUGGAUAUCCGGCACAGAAGAUGCGCAUUUGUGAAGGAGACCAGCUGGAUUUGAUAGGCAAAAAAUUUACACCGGACCUUAAUCAUACAGAGGUUCUUAAUAGUUUCCACCACAAAGUUUAAGUGGACGGGCAAACGCGUUUCCGUCUGGUUUUAAGAAAAAGUGAAAAGAAGAAUUCGUCGUGGUAUUGGUAUAAGACCAGUGCUAUUCUUUCUCCGGACCCUAAACAACAUCUUCACGAUGAAGUUCCGAUAGUUAAGGACCUGAAAAUCGGCCCCGCAAAAACCACGCGUAAAACACAAAAAAAUCCGGUUUUCAAUUUACGACUGCUCGCUUUACAUGUUCAUCGACAAAUCUGGCAUUCACGGCGUACAUAUUGAAAGUGAUGACAAGGACAUAUACGUCAACAAGACAGUCGAAAUAUCGUUUAAUCCAUUGGUUCGAAAAGCGGCCUUGUUUGGAAUGGACGAGACAUCUUACGUGAGCUUAGAUGUGCGCACAGAUGAUCAAAGAGAUAUUCGUAUAACGGAUAAAGAAAUGUGCACGUGGUUUGAGACUGUAUUGACUGGCUCAGACAACAAAUUCCAUGUCAAUGGCAAGUCUUAUAUGUUACCAUAUUAUUAUAAUAAUAAAGGACACGCAUGUGAUUAGAUAGAAACAUGCACAAUUAUCAGGUGUUUUCACCACAUUUCUCCCAAUAAUACAAAUACUUUUCACACCCGACGUUUCUAAUUUUGAGAACCCAAGGAAAAA